rnacentral:rRNA from 1 species
GACGUAGGGGGCCAGCGUUGCUCGGAAUUACUGGGUGUAAAGGGUUCGUAGGCGGUGUGGCAAGUCGGGAGUGAAAUCUCUGGGCUUAACUCAGGGGCUGCUUCCGAAACUGCCGUGCUAGAGUGUGGGAGAGGCGCGUGGAAUUGCAGGUGUAGCGGUGAAAUGCGUAGAUAUCUGCAGGAACACCCGUGGCGAAAGCGGCGCGCUGGACCGUUACUGACGCUGAGGAACGAAAGCUAGGGGAGCAAACAGG